rnacentral:rRNA from 1 species
UACAGAGGUCUCAAGCGUUUGUUCGGAUUCAUUGGGCGUAAAGGGCGUGUAGGCGGUUAGUUAAGUCUGGCGUGAAAGCUCUCGGCUAAACCGGGAGAGGUCGUUGGAUACUGGCUGACUAGAGGACGGUAGAGGCGUGUGGAAUUCCGGGUGUAGUGGUGAAAUGCGUAGAGAUCCGGAGGAACACCAGCGGCGAAGGCGGGUAGCUGGGCCAACACUGACGCUGAUGCGCGAAAGCUAGGGUAGCAAACGGG